rnacentral:rRNA from 1 species
AGUUAUUAAGGGCGCACGGUGGAUGCCUUGGCACUAGAAGCCGAUGAAGGACGUUACUAACGACGAUAUGCUUUGGGGAGCUGUAAGUAAGCUUUGAUCCAGAGAUUUCCGAAUGGGGAAACCCAGCAUGAGUUAUGUCAUGUUAUCGAUAUGUGAAUACAUAGCAUAUCAGAAGGCACACCCGGAGAACUGAAACAUCUUAGUACCCGGAGGAAGAGAAAGAAAAUUCGAUUCCCUUAGUAGCGGCGAGCGAAACGGGAAGAGCCCAAACCAACAAGCUUGCUUGUUGGGGUUGUAGGACACUCUAUACGGAGUUACAAAGGACGACAUUAGACGAAUCAUCUGGAAAGAUGAAUCAAAGAAGGUAAUAAUCCUGUAGUCGAAAAUGUUGUCUCUCUUGAGUGGAUCCUGAGUACGACGGAGCACGUGAAAUUCCGUCGGAAUCUGGGAGGACCAUCUCCUAAGGCUAAAUACUCUCUAGUGACCGAUAGUGAACCAGUACCGUGAGGGAAAGGUGAAAAGCACCCCGGAAGGGGAGUGAAAUAGAACCUGAAACCGUGUGCUUACAAGUAGUCAGAGCCCGUUAAUGGGUGAUGGCGUGCCUUUUGUAGAAUGAACCGGCGAGUUACGAUUUGAUGCAAGGUUAAGCAGUAAAUGUGGAGCCGUAGCGAAAGCGAGUCUGAAUAGGGCGUUUAGUAUUUGGUCGUAGACCCGAAACCAGGUGAUCUACCCUUGGUCAGGUUGAAGUUCAGGUAACACUGAAUGGAGGACCGAACCGACUUACGUUGAAAAGUGAGCGGAUGAACUGAGGGUAGCGGAGAAAUUCCAAUCGAACCUGGAGAUAGCUGGUUCUCUCCGAAAUAGCUUUAGGGCUAGCCUCAAGUGAUGAUUAUUGGAGGUAGAGCACUGUUUGGACGAGGGGCCCCUCUCGGGUUACCGAAUUCAGACAAACUCCGAAUGCCAAUUAAUUUAACUUGGGAGUCAGAACAUGGGUGAUAAGGUCCGUGUUCGAAAGGGAAACAGCCCAGACCACCAGCUAAGGUCCCAAAAUAUAUGUUAAGUGGAAAAGGAUGUGGCGUUGCCCAGACAACUAGGAUGUUGGCUUAGAAGCAGCCAUCAUUUAAAGAGUGCGUAAUAGCUCACUAGUCGAGUGACACUGCGCCGAAAAUGUACCGGGGCUAAACAUAUUACCGAAGCUGUGGAUUGUCCUUUGGACAAUGGUAGGAGAGCGUUCUAAGGGCGUUGAAGCAUGAUCGUAAGGACAUGUGGAGCGCUUAGAAGUGAGAAUGCCGGUGUGAGUAGCGAAAGACGGGUGAGAAUCCCGUCCACCGAUUGACUAAGGUUUCCAGAGGAAGGCUCGUCCGCUCUGGGUUAGUCGGGUCCUAAGCUGAGGCCGACAGGCGUAGGCGAUGGAUAACAGGUUGAUAUUCCUGUACCACCUAUAAUCGUUUUAAUCGAUGGGGGGACGCAGUAGGAUAGGCGAAGCGUGCGAUUGGAUUGCACGUCUAAGCAGUAAGGCUGAGUAUUAGGCAAAUCCGGUACUCGUUAAGGCUGAGC